rnacentral:rRNA from 1 species
CCAAGGAGUCUAACAUGUGCGCGAGUCGCAGGGUGCUCGCAAAAUUAAAAAAAACCCGAACCCCGAAGGCGCAAUGAAAGUGAAGGUCGGUGGUCUUGACCGACCGAGGCGGGAUCCGCCCGGGCGUCGAUCCGAAAUGCCCGAGUCGCAAGGCUCGGGUUUUCGGUGAGCCCGGCGGCGCACCGCCGGCCCGUCUCGACCGCUUCUUGUCGGCGAGGCGGAGCAAGAGCGCACACGUUGGGACCCGAAAGAUGGUGAACUAUGCUCGGGCAGGACGAAGCCAGAGGAAACUCUGGUGGAGGUCCGUAGCGAUUCUGACGUGCAAAUCGAUCGUCGGACCCGAGUAUAGGGGCGAAAGACUAAUCGAACCGUCUA